rnacentral:lncRNA from 1 species
AGAUGUGGAAGAACAAGAUGUGGACACAGUGAUAAAAGUUUCCGUUGCUGAUUGGAAGGUCAUGGCGUUUAGUAAGAAGGGAGGCCGCCUAGAAUGGGAGUACCAGUUUUGUACUCCCAUUGCGUCUGCCUGGCUGGUGAGGGAUGGUAAAGUCAUCCCCAUCAGUCUGUUUGAUGACACAAGUUACACAGCCAAUGAGGAAGUUUUGGAAGAUGAAGAAGACAUUGUAGAGGCUGCUCGGGGAGCCACAGAGAACAGCGUGUACUUAGAUUCUCCGUCUAGGACUCCUGUCUUGGUUGGGUCUGAUGAAUUUGACAAGUGUCUAAGUAAUGAUAAAUAUUCCCAUGAAGAAUACAGUAA